UUUACAUGUGAUAGAGAUUUCCCUUGAUUUACAUAAACUUUAACUUUGAUUUUCUCGACUUACACAACGUAUUUUUUGAAAAUUACUUCGCCAAUGACCGUAGUAUAGAGCGAUCGUUUUUGAAGCAAUUUAAAAUACAGUGCCGAUGUCUUCUUUAUUAUCAGACCUAAAGAGUAAAGAUAUUCGGCUUCGCCUCCUAUUUUAUAUCUGAUAAAACACUGCUGAUCAUGUAUUAAAUAGUACUAAAAAACUCAUUUAGAUAAACUUUAAGUUAAAUUUUCUCACCAAAUAUCAUUCAUUGAAUAUUUAAAAUUGUUGAAG